rnacentral:rRNA from 1 species
GACGAACGCUGGCGGCGUGCCUAAUACAUGCAAGUCGAACGAAGUGGGGACGGGUGAGUAACACGUGGGUAACCUCCCAUCAGAGGGGAUAACCCUUGGAAACAGGUGCUAAACCGAUACUGAUGGAUGGACCCGCGGUGCAUUAGCUAGUUGGUGAGGUAACGGCUUACCAAGGCCACGAUGCAUAGCCGACAUGAGAGGGUGUGCGGGAACACUGUGACGGAGAAACGGCCCAUACUCCUUCGGUAGGCAGCAGUAGGGAAUCUUCGGCAAGGGGCGAAAGGCUGACCGAGCCACGCCGGGUGAGUGAAGAAGGUUUUCGGAUCGUAAAACUCUGUUUUUAGAGAAGCGGUGUCUAACCAGAAAGCCACGGCUAACUACGUGCCAGCAGCCGCGGUAAAAC